rnacentral:misc_RNA from 1 species
CGUCCAAAUAAAAUUCAAAAUUUUCAUGUAAACAAAAGCCAGGUAAUUAAUUUGAUGGAAUUUAAUAACUAUAUUUACAACCACAAAUAAUAGCUCCUCCUUCAACCUUCUUCUCUAGUUUUGUCCACCCCACUCUCAUAACAAACAAAAGGAACAUCAAAAAUUCUAGGAGAAAAAAAAAAACACCAGGCCCCAAAUCCUAGUUACCAAAAAAGAUUUUGCAAAAGGAUUAAAAAUAUUUUAAAAAAAAAAAGGAAUAAGAAAAAAUCU